AUUCCCGUCGUCGGCGCCCCGGUGGGCGGCGUUGCCAGAGCUCUCGCGCAUGGCGUGAGAGUCCUGGAGGACGGGAUAAACUAUGCGACAGGGAAUCUUCCCGGUUGCUCUUU
rfam:Hepatitis C virus isolate PTR9415 polyprotein gene, complete cds